CAAGAUUGUAGUUAAAAAAUGCGAAUAAAUGCAAAACAAAAUUGCAGCAUAAAAACCGGAUACCAGGUAACCCGUGGAACUGUAGUUCGAUGCCGGGAAUAGCAUCGGCCUAACCGCCGCAGUACUACAAACAGUCGGCACCGAUCCUGGCCAACACCAUCGGGCACGACACAAUCCAGCUGGGGACAACCGCAGUCUCGUCAAAAUGCAGUAGGUUCCGUUGCCUCAGCGGUAGCCCCGAAUCGUGCCGAGGAUCGUGUCAGGGCACACAGGAGGACGUACUGGACAAGAUUUACAACGAUUCAGCGAUUCAACCUCCUUUACGACGUUCGCAGCAUCUAUACCCGGAUCCGGAGAACGCCUCCCAUAGGAACAGGGGUUCCACUAAAUGCCGUUGAACUAGACUGUUGUAAUUACUCGUCACAUCAUCUUCACCAGGAUACUCCGGAACUGAGCGGCCCUCCCGCCGGCAUGGGACCGAAGCAUUACAAAUCACCACCACAUCUCCACCAUCCGCCUCCACUGAAUCAUCAGCCGCCACACGGUCACCAACACGGACCGUCCGUCGUGCCCGUUCCCAAGUCCGAGUUCGACGAUAACAGGCGUUGUGAUGGCGACGGAACCUACGCCUAGACUGCGACGGCCGCCACCGUUGGGAUAAUUCCUACCUAACAGUCGUGUUAGUCCAACUUCAUCGAGUACGGCGCUGACUAGUGGAGUCCGAACAAUUCGUCCGGCAAGCGAAAGUACUCGCGCGAUCAGCUGAUACCGUUCAAGAAUGCGGCAACGGCUCACGAAAAACCGGCUGGAUCUUCGUAAUUGGUCUAAACCAUGGAUGAGGUGACAACGGGAUGGGC